rnacentral:tRNA from 1 species
GCCCGAGUGGCGGAAUGGUAGACGCAGGGGAUUCAAAAUCCCCCGCUUCACGGCGUGGGAGUUCGAGUCUCCCCUCGGGCACCA